rnacentral:rRNA from 1 species
UACGUAGGUGGCAAGCGUUGUUCGGAAUUAUUGGGCGUAAAGGGCGCGUAGGCGGCUUGGCAAGUGGAUGGUGAAAUCCCUCGGCUUAACCGAGGAACUGCCGUCCAAACUGCUUAGCUUGAGACCGGGAGAGGUGAGUGGAAUUCCCAGUGUAGCGGUGAAAUGCGUAGAUAUUGGGAGGAACACCAGUGGCGAAGGCGGCUCACUGGACCGGUACUGACGCUGAUGCGCGAAAGCGUGGGGAGCAAACGGG